AGGUGCUGUUUUUUCCCCCAAGGUUAACCAGUAAGGUGAUCAGAUAGGCAAUGAGUUGCACCUGCCCACACUGGCUGGGGGAUAGCUCAGUGCAGGGCAGUGCAACAGAGCUGCUUUUCCUCCUGAUGGGCAGCCAGGAGCGCUGUUAAUGUUAUACUGUGCUGUCCCAGGCACUCCAAGUGGGAUUAUGCAUCCUGGCUGUUCUCCUAGCGCUGGAUGAAAGCUCUGUCUGGAGACAGGUGUGUCUGACAGAGCCAACAGCCACAGGGCUGUUCCCUUCUCCUGGUGGUCCACAACUUCGUUGUGUUUUCUUCCCACCAGCUGGAUCCUACAUGAGGAGCAACAAAGGGGCUGCAGAGCAGUGAUCUGUUACUCUUCUCUCACAUGUAGAUGAGUAAAAGGCUGAAGAGAACCGAAGCAGUGGAAAAUGCCACACUUUUAUUGAAGUUCAGUGACACAAAAGCUGACGAGAUGCUGAGUGAUUCAUCAAACAGCGCAGUCAGUUGGAUGUGAAGGAAUGCUGGAGAAAGUAUCAGUUACAAUAAUAAGUAGAUUAAUAAUUACAAAAAGCUUUGGUGCUCCCCUAGAGCUAGCCUGAUCCUACACAGUGAGUGACUUAAAUAAAACAAGUGGGAGUUUCAUUUGUUUUAUCUGUAUUUAUUAUUUUUAACCUUCAUAAUCCUUCCUUGUAUUGUGCUGGAGCCUGCAAUGGUGAACGUAAAAGCACGCAUCCAACAGGCUUCGUUGGGCUGCAGAUAGCUCCCAGCUCCUCAGCUGAGCUAUUGGAGCCAAGAGAUGUCUGCUCCUUUUAUCUUUAUUGUAAGGCUUACGAACUUGGAAUAAAUUGGCAGGAGUGGCUUACUGUAAAUAAAUAAAUAAAGCUCAUGCUUUGG
rnacentral:lncRNA from 7 species